AAGAGAAGUAACAUGUUCGCUUCAACAUAAUGAAGUGAAAUGGAAUCUAGUGGAAUCAAAAUGCACAAUGAUGAAUAAGAAAUUUAUUCCAUUACGCUUGCCAAACAAUCUAAGAAUCUUGGAUUUAUUUGGUUGAAGCACGAUGAUGUAAACCACAAAGAACACUCAAAAGGAGAAGAGGAACAAUUCUCAACUUUCUGUUAUUUUUCAAAAUUCAAAUGUCAAUGGUAAAUGCUCUACUAGAAUACCUAGAGGACAUAGGUAUUU
rnacentral:misc_RNA from 1 species